UGGGGAAUAUUGCACAAUGGGGGAAACCCUGAUGCAGCAACGCCGCGUGAGUGAAGAAGUAUUUCGGUAUGUAAAGCUCUAUCAGCAGGGAAGAUAAUGACGGUACCUGACUAAGAAGCUCCGGCUAAAUACGUGCCAGCAGCCGCGGUAAUACGUAUGGAGCAAGCGUUAUCCGGAUUUACUGGGUGUAAAGGGUGCGUAGGUGGCAGUGCAAGUCAGAUGUGAAAGGCCGGGGCUCAACCCCGGAGCUGCAUUUGAAACUGCUCGGCUAGAGUACAGGAGAGGCAGGCGGAAUUCCUAGUGUAGCGGUGAAAUGCGUAGAUAUUAGGAGGAACACCAGUGGCGAAGGCGGCCUGCUGGACUGUUACUGACACUGAGGCACGAAAGCGUGGGGAGCAAACAGG
rnacentral:rRNA from 1 species